GGUUUUGUGACAUCAGUUUGUAGUUUUUGGUAGCUGAAGUUUUCUAUAGUAACUAUGUACUAUGCUGUUUCAAUACAGAAUGUUGUAAUGAGAUGUAAUUGAGAUGGAUCAGCUAAUUUUCCUGAUUUAAAUUUUCUCCCACAAGUUUAUUUUUUAAUUUGAGAGGCCUUCAAGCUUUCUGUAUCCUAAGUACAUUGGGAUGUCAGCAUGUGUAGAGGUCUUUUUGGCUGUGAGGAGCAUCUACACAGUUAUGCUAAGGACCAGAUGUUCAAAAACAUGAAGAAGUGCAGCAGUGCUCAGGUGAAAGGACUGACAGCCUUUGACAGGAUUAAAUGUCAUUCAGUCAAACAGUCAGUAAGUGAGGCAGCCAGUCAGUUGUUUUGUCCCGGUGUGGCUAAAGCAUUAUCUCCGGGGCUUCGCCACGCUGUUCCUUAAGCGUUCCGACAUCCUUUCCCAACCGCCGCCACUUCCCACUGGGAAAUUGAAAAUGCCGCAGUCGCCGCAGGCAACAAGAUUUAUCUACUUACACACCUACUGAGUGAGACAGAAAGAGAAGGAGAGGGAGAUCUAAGCCUGUAAAGAAGUCUGUGUUUUGUUUUUGUACACUAAACAAGUUGGCAUCAUAUGUCAGUUCUUUCAAAUUAGAAAGACAGAGUAUUUGGCCCCGUGUUUGUUCAAAACCUGACCUUUAAAGAAAGCGAGGCA